UACGGAGGGUGCAAGCGUUAAUCGGAUUUACUGGGCGUAAAGCGCGCGUAGGCGGCCGGUUAAGUCGGAUGUGAAAUCCCCGAGCUCAACUUGGGAACUGCAUCCGAUACUGGCCAGCUAGAGUGUGGUAGAGGGAAGUGGAAUUCCAGGUGUAGCGGUGAAAUGCGUAGAUAUCUGGAGGAACAUCAGUGGCGAAGGCGACUUCCUGGACCAACACUGACGCUGAGGCGCGAAAGCGUGGGGAGCAAACAGG
rnacentral:rRNA from 1 species